GAUCAUAAUAUUGGCAUAAAAGAUAUAUUAGGGAGGAAGCCUGAAGUAGGGAGAUGAAAAUAAGGAGCCAUCAAAGGCAGAAUGAAACUUAGGCAGAUUUCAAGUGAUUUUCAAAAAUGUUGUGAUCAGAGGUACCAGAUAAUAACUAUUACAUAACACUUUCUUUGUUAGGAGCUUAUUUCUCACACUGACCAAAGCUUUUGAAGUAAGUACUCUUUACACCACUAUAUAAAUAAACCUUACAAAGGAUUCUGCUUUGAGGCAUGAGAGAGUUAAGUCAUUUGCCCAAAGUCACAGAGUUAGAAAGUAAUAGAGCUAAGAUUUGAACCUAGGCAGUUUGGCUCCAGAGUCUGUGCUCUUACGCUAUAUUACCACCAAGAGGUCAAAUAAAUACCAAAGAAUGUAUUUUCGAAUUUAACAAUGAGGAACUUAAUCAUACAGGCAGAAGUAAUUCCAGAGCACUGGAGACAGAAGCCAGAUUGCCAUAUGGGUUAAAGAGUGUGUAAACCACUAGGAAGUAAAGACAUAGAACUACUCUCACAAGUGCUUUUCUGGUUAUUGUGACGCUGAACUUCAUGGCUUGUUUUAAUUAAGACAUCUUACAAGUGUCAAAAUUUGGAAAUAUUUGGACACUGUACACUCUGGUUAUUUAAAUAUCUAACAAUGGUUCUUGAGCAUUUUGAGAAACCUUUGAAAAUCUGAUGAAAGGUAUGUGCCAUUACUCUAGAAAAAUGUUCCUGUGUACAUGCACAUCAAGUAUCACAUACUGUUUCAGGCUGUUCAAAGACUACAAAGUCUGUUCAUGACCUAAUGGUCCAUGUUCCCUCAGUUAAGAGCUCCAGAGAUAAAGGAUGUGGAACUCAAAGGUAAGUACCCAGAGCCUUGAAAACUCCAUCUGUGACUUGGAAGAAUUCUACAAUUUGAAUUAACUUUGUGGAGAGAGAUAUAUUUUUGA
rnacentral:lncRNA from 10 species